AUUGAUUUUAUGCUUGCAUAAAUGAUUUUUGGAUUCGGAGCGAGUGGCGAACUGGUGAGUAACACGUGGGUAACCUGCCCCGAAGCGGGGGAUAACAUUUGGAAACAAGUGCUAAUACCGCAUAAUUAGUUGGAACCGCAUGGUUCCAACUUGAAAGAUGGCUCUGCUAUCACUUUGGGAUGGACCCGCGCCGUAUUAGUUAGUUGGUGAGAUAAAAGCCCACCAAGACGAUGAUACGUAGCCGACCUGAGAGGGUAAUCGGCCACAUUGGGACUGAGACACGGCCCAGACUCCUACGGGAGGCAGCAGUAGGGAAUCUUCCACAAUGGACGAAAGUCUGAUGGAGCAACGCCGCGUGAGUGAUGAAGGUUUUCGGAUCGUAAAACUCUGUUGUUAAAGAAGAACAAGUGUUAGAGUAACUGUUAACACUUUGACGGUAUUUAACCAGAAAGCCACGGCUAACUACGUGCCAGCAGCCGCGGUAAUACGCAGGUGGCAAGCGUUGUCCGGAUUUAUUGGGCGUAAAGCGAGCGCAGGCGGUUUUGUAAGUCUGCUGUGAAAGCCCUCAGCUCAACUGAGGAAGUGCAGUGGAAACUACAAAACUUGAGUACAGAAGAGGAAAGUGGAACUCCAUGUGUAGCGGUGAAAUGCGUAGAUAUAUGGAAGAACACCAGUGGCGAAGGCGGCUUUCUGGUCUGUUACUGACGCUGAGGCUCGAAAGCAUGGGUAGCGAACAGGAUUAGAUACCCUGGUAGUCCAUGCCGUAAACGAUGAAUACUAGGUGUUGGAGGGUUUCCGCCCUUCAGUGCCGCAGCUAACGCAUUAAGUAUUCCGCCUGGGGAGUACGACCGCAAGGUUGAAACUCAAAGGAAUUGACGGGGGCCCGCACAAGUGGUGGAGCAUGUGGUUUAAUUCGAUGCUACGCGAAGAACCUUACCAGCUCUUGACAUCUUCUGCCAACCCAAGAGAUUGGGCGUUCCCUUCGGGGACAGAAUGACAGGUGGUGCAUGGUUGUCGUCAGCUCGUGUCGUGAGAUGUUGGGUUAAGUCCCGCAACGAGCGCAACCCUUAUUAUUAGUUGCCAGCAUUUAGUUGGGCACUCUAGUGAGACUGCCGGUGAUAAA
rnacentral:rRNA from 1 species